UAAGGUGGCUAUAGUGCCGGGGUUCCACCUCUUCCCAUUCCGAACAGAGAAGUUAAGCCCGGCCGCGCCGAUGGUACUGCGUAACAGUGGGAGAGUAGGUAGCCGCCGUCU
rnacentral:rRNA from 1 species